rnacentral:rRNA from 1 species
UACGGGGGGGGCAAGCGUUGUUCGGAAUUACUGGGCGUAAAGGGCUCGUAGGCGGCCAACUAAGUCAGACGUGAAAUCCCUCGGCUUAACCGGGGAGCUGCAUCUGAUACUGGAUGGCUUGAGUUCGGGAGAGGGAUGCGGAAUUCCAGGUGUAGCGGUGAAAUGCGUAGAUAUCUGGAGGAACACCGGUGGCGAAGGCGGCAUCCUGGACCAUUACUGACGCUGAGGUGCGAAAGCGUGGGGAGCAAACAGG